rnacentral:rRNA from 1 species
GAAAGUAAGCAAGGGCAGACGGUGGAUGCCUUGGCUCUCGGAGGCGACGAAGGACGUGAUAAGCUGCGAAAAGCCCGGGGGAGGCGCAAAUAGCCCUUGAUCCCGGGAUAUCCGAAUGGGGCAACCCGGCAGGCUGAAGGCCUGUCAUCCCGUAAGGGAGGCGAACGUGGGGAACUGAAACAUCUAAGUACCCAUAGGAGGAGAAAAUAAACAAUGAUUCCGUAAGUAGUGGCGAGCGAACACGGAAGAGCCCAAACCCGUGCCGUCUAGGCGACACGGGGGUUGUAGGACCACGACGUGGCAAGAUAGAGUCAAGUGGAACGCCUUGGAAAAGGCGACGGUAGAGGGUGAUAGUCCCGUACACGACUGACGAUUGAAGCCUAGUGGCAUCCUGAGUAGCGCGGGGCACGAGAAAUCUUGCGUGAAACAGCGGGGCCCAUCCCGUAAGGCUAAAUACUCCCGAGAGACCGAUAGCGAACCAGUACCGUGAGGGAAAGGUGAAAAGAACCCCGAGCAGGGGAGUGAAAUAGACCCUGAACCCGUCUGCCUACAAGCGGUCGGAGCGUUGUUAUGACGUGACGGCGUGCCUUUUGCAUAAUGAACCUACGAGUUACCUUCCCCGGCAAGGUUAAGUACCUAAGGUACGGAGCCGAAGCGAAAGCGAGUCUGAAUAGGGCGGCCAGUCGGGGGGGGUAGACGCGAAACCGAGUGAUCUACCCUUGGCCAGGUUGAAGGUUGGGUAACACCAACUGGAGGACCGGAUGGGUAAGCGUUGAAAAGCUUUCCAAUGAGCUGAGGGUAGGGGUGAAAGGCUAAUCAAACUCGGAGAUAGCUCGUACUCCCCGAAAUGCAUUUAGGUGCAGCCUCUUUAUAGUAUAUCGUGAGGUAGAGCGACUGAUUGGAUGCGAGGGCUUCACCGCCUAUCAAGUCCAGAUAAACUCCGAAUGCGCGAUAUAUAUUUAAAGGGAGUGAGGGCGCGGGUGCUAAGGUCCGUGUCCGAGAGGAGAAGAAUCCAGACCACCGGCUAAGGCCCCCAAAUGAUCGUUAAGUUGAACUAACGAGGUCGGAUCGCAGAGACAGCUAGGAUGUUGGCUUGGAAGCAGCCAUUCAUUUAAAGAGUGCGUAACAGCUCACUAGUCGAGCGAUCUGGCGUGGAUAAUAAUCGGGCAUAAACGAUCUGCCGAAGCCGUGGAUGUCGCAAGACAUGGUAGGGGAGCAUUCCAUGCCGCGUCGAAGAUAAGGGAUGACCCUUGUUGGAGCGCAUGGAAAAGCAAAUGUAGGUAUGAGUAACGAUAAGGGGGGCGAGAAACCCCCCCGCCGAAAGACCAAGGUUUCCUGAUCAACGCUAAUCGGAUCAGGGUGAGUCGGGACCUAAGGCAAAGCCGAACGGCGACGCCGAUGGAAGAAUGGGUUAAUAUUCCCAUACUGCCUCAUGGAGUGACGUGGAGACGGAGAAGUGACAGUCCUGCCGGCUGACGGAAUAGCCGGUUGAAGGGUGUAGGAGUGGAUCAUGGUAGGCAAAUCCGCCGUGAGAUCCGAACCUGAGAGUAUACCGAGUACUUGUACGAGGUAAUAUGGACGUAACCAUGCUCCCAAGAAAAUCCGCUAAACUUAUCCAUGCGGCACCCGUACCGUAAACGGACACACGUGGUCGGGUUGAGAAUACUGAGGCGCUCGAGUGAUUCACGGUUAAGGAACUAGGCAAAUUGACCCUGUAACUUCGGGAUAAAGGGUCCUCGUCGUAAGGCGAGGCGCAGAGAAUAGGUCCAGGCAACUGUUUAACAAAAACACAUGGCUGUGCUAAAUGGAAACAUGACGUAUACAGCCUGACACCUGCCCGGUGCUGGAAGGUUAAGAGGAGAUGUCAUCGCGAGAGAAGCGUUGAAUUGAAGCCCCAGUAAACGGCGGCCGUAACUAUAACGGUCCUAAGGUAGCGAAAUUCCUUGUCGGGUAAGUUCCGACCUGCACGAAUGGUGUAAUGAUCUGGACACUGUCUCAACCGUGAGCU